UCAGAGGAAAUACAAAUAGAGUGUCCAGCACACACACACACAUAGAGAGCGAGAGAGAGAGAGAGAGUGAGACAUACGUGAAGGGGGGACGGCCACGUCUGAGGGACACUUUGAGAGCAAUGCAGCUGCUGGUCAUUGGGAAGUGAGAGCUUACGAGAACUUGACAUGAAAUAAUUCCCCGUAUAUUACAUUUAUUUUUUUCUAGCCUUGGUUGCGCUUGAACAGAGCUCGUGUUAUAAAUAAAUUUGUAUUAAAUUAACUCUUUCACAAUUAAAUUAAACAUCAGGAAAA